rnacentral:rRNA from 1 species
AAUCUCGAAAGCCGGUCUCAGUUCGGAUUGCAGGCUGGAACUCGCCUGCAUGAAGUUGGAUUCGCUAGUAAUCGCGCAUCAGCCAUGGCGCGGUGAAUACGUUCCCGGGCCUUGUACACACCGCCCGUCAAGCCAGUGAAAGUCGGGGGUGCUUGAAGUACGCUUACCGUAAGGGGCGUCCUAAGGCAAAACCGAUAAUUGGGGCUAAGUCGUAACAAGGUAAC